rnacentral:rRNA from 1 species
AUGCGAGUUAACUUCGCUCAAACGUGUAAUAAAAUACACAAAAACACAGUGCAUAUUCAUCUGUUUGUCGUGUUUUGUGGCAUACGGCGAUUGUCAGACGACACAAAGGGCUUGGGGGGAAUCUGCAGGUUCUGCAACCUCCCUGUUAGCAUGUUUACAACUUUCGUCAUUGAAGGCCGAUUCUUUGGGUUCCAUUGGAUACACCACAAUGCCACAAUAGUCAGCUGCCUCAUCUUUUCUUUGUCUUCUACUGUCAUUUCUGAAGUAAGCUCCCAUUCAUGCCCACUGAUUACUCUCUCGUAG